rnacentral:rRNA from 1 species
GACGAACGCUGGCGGCGUGCUUAACACAUGCAAGUCGAACGAAAAGAGGGAAAGAGCUUGCUCUUUCCGGAAUUGAGUGGCAAACGGGUGAGUAACACGUAAACAACCUGCCUUCAGGAUGGGGACAACAGACGGAAACGACUGCUAAUACCGAAUAAGUUCCAAGGGCCGCAUGGCCCAUGGAAGAAAAGGUGGCCUCUACCUGUAAGCUAUCGCCUGAAGAGGGGUUUGCGUCUGAUUAGCUGGUUGGAGGGGUAACGGCCCACCAAGGCGACGAUCAGUAGCCGGUCUGAGGGGAUGAACGGCCACACUGGAACUGAGACACGGUCCAGACUCCUACGGGAGGCAGCAGUGGGGAAUCUUCCGCAAUGGGCGAAAGCCUGACGGAGCAACGCCGCGUGAGUGAUGACGGCCUUCGGGUUGUAAAACUCUGUGAUCCGGGACGAAAAGGCAGAGUGCGAAGAACAAACUGCAUUGACGGUACCGGAAAAGCAAGCCACGGCUAACUACG